rnacentral:rRNA from 1 species
UACGGAGGGUGCAAGCGUUAAUCGGAAUUACUGGGCGUAAAGCGCGCGUAGGCGGCUUGGUAAGUCGAUUGUGAAAUCCCCGGGCUCAACCUGGGAAUUGCAGUCGAUACUGUCAGGCUAGAGUGUGGGAGAGGGUAGUGGAAUUCCCGGUGUAGCGGUGAAAUGCGUAGAUAUCGGGAGGAACAUCAGUGGCGAAGGCGACUGCCUGGCCCAACACUGACGCUGAGGUGCGAAAGCGUGGGUAGCAAACAGG